rnacentral:SRP_RNA from 1 species
GGAAAGUCGGCCCGGACGAUUGGCGCGUGAACCCGGUCAGAUCGGGAACGAAGCAGCCGCAGCGUUGUCCGGUCGGGUCGGUGUCCGGCUUUCCACC